GAACGUAUGGCUUAGUGGUCAGAGCGUUUGGCUGGUUUCUAAGAGGCGCGGGUUAAAAUCCGUCUAUACGUUUU
rnacentral:tRNA from 1 species